GACGAACCGUGCGAACGUUGUUCGGAAUCACUGGGCUUAAAGGGUGCGUAGGCGGGCCAUCAAGUCCGGGGUGAAAUCCUCCAGCUUAACUGGAGAACGGCCUUGGAUACUGGUGGUCUCGAGGGAGGUAGGGGAGCGCGGAACUGAUGGUGGAGCGGUGAAAUGUGUUGAUAUCAUCAGGAACUCCGGUGGCGAAGGCGGCGCUCUGGACCUCAUCUGACGCUGAGGCACGAAAGCUAGGGGAGAGAACGG
rnacentral:rRNA from 1 species